rnacentral:tRNA from 1 species
GCCACGGUGGCUCAGUGGUUGAGUGUCUACCUGUGAACUAGGAAGUCAUGGUUCGAUUCCCAGUCAGGGCA